UACGUAGGGUGCAAGCGUUGUCCGGAAUUAUUGGGCGUAAAGAGCUCGUAGGCGGUUUGUUGCGUCGGCUGUGAAAUCCCGAGGCUCAACCUCGGGUCUGCAGUCGAUACGAGCAAACUAGAGUGUUGCAGGGGAGACUGGAAUUCCUGGUGUAGCGGUGAAAUGCGCAGAUAUCAUGAGGAAGACCAGUGGCGAAGGCGGAUCUCUGGACAGUUCCUGACACUGAGGCACGAAGGCCAGGGGAGCAAACGGG
rnacentral:rRNA from 1 species